AAAACGGGCUUUUGAAGGGAUUCAACCCCUCGUUCUUCCUUCUUUCCGCCACGGGGUCGUCCUGCACCUUUAGCCGCUUCGGUUAGCUUCUGUUGCUCUCCUUGUUCGCCUUGGUGGCGUCCUUCAGCAUCGUAAAACUGCCCGCCCGCUGAGAGCGAUCCGUCGAGGUAUGCAGUCGGAUCCGACAGUUAUCAGCAUGACGUUGGCCGCGAUAAUCGAGGCAGCAGACUCGUCGCCUCCUGCACCGAUUCCGCUGCCUUAGGAGUUGCCUUCCUCGUGUCCUCCGAUUUCGCCGUCCUCCGGCACCAUGGCGGUGUCGGCGUGGCCCUGUCGGUCAACAUUGCGAAGUGGCUGGUAAUGGUUCUUGCUGGUGGCAUAGAUUUCAAGGUGAUUGAGGAAUUGCUGAUUCCAGGUUGCAAUCCUGCUAUUCGAUGCUGAGAUGAAAGCUGCUAAGGCAAUCUAUUUCCAGGCCAUGCUUCAAUGCGGCGUUCCACACCACAUCGAUGCGGUCAACGUCAAUGGCUCCGACCUCAUGAUGCGUCCAACCUUCCAGGCAAUGGACGAUGCCUCCGGCAUGGCAGGCGUGCACGAUGCCCCGCUCCAUAGUGUACUGUGAAGAGAAGAAAACAACGGUGAGCACCACUUCCUGCUUCAUUCUACAACUUGAGCUUGCAGUAGCAGAUCAUACCUCGCAGGAUCCAAGUCCCUGGACAUCCUUGGGAAGCCUCAUGGCGGCCAGAUUCCCAUAGGUGCAGUCCCGCCUGAAGCCGAUGACCGGAGGCACCACGAACUGGUGGAAGUGUGUGCCGGGCGGUGCCCACCGCUGCUCCCUCAGCAACAGCCACUUCCCAACGAUCCAUGUCUGCAGCAACACCUGCUCUCAUCCUCUGCUUUCCGGGAAUCAUCAUCAACAACAAAAACUCACAGAGAUAGAGCGCAAUGGCUCUUCCCAGCUUCGAUGUAGCCCCUGUCAAGAACACCUCUUUCACAUCCAUGGGGAUCUCGUUGAGGAUGAUGGCUGCCGUCAGGGUGUUGCCAUGGACAACUCGAACUCUCAGAUCAGGAUGCUUGCUAAUGAACAACGUGCCACCACCAUUAAGUGAUUCGUUCUGCAGGCAAGAAUGCAUCAGUGUGGUUGAUGAUGGACAUGAAACCAUGGCAGCAACCAACCUUGUUCAAUGCUGCAAGACUGAGGACCUUCACGCCCAGCUUGUCAGCUCUCAGUAUUGCGAGCUCGAUCUGAUCAUUGAUGCCCUCUCUGGCGAAUGGCAAGAAGUACUGCGACAAGCCACGAAGUGCAACCAAUUACAGAGGUUUUCUGUGGCAAUCUGAAGGAGACGAGGAAGAACCGAGCAGUACCUGAAACCCGUAUCUGGGGACUAUCCAUGUCUGGUGCAGACGACCUCUUAGGGUGUAGAAUGAGAGCAAGAAGGUCUUGGAGAACGCCCACUGGAAGAGCAUAAACAGGAACGCGAUCGGCCAAAACACCGGCAAAAAGAUGUAGUUGAUGAAGGGCAUCGAGGAGAGGGAUCGGAACACGAAGGGUACGUGCAUGGAAGAGAAGACAUCGAUUACGUGCGCGAGGAAGACAAAGUCAGGUGCUCGGUCCUUCUUCCCUGCAUCAAGACAUGAAGCAAACACAUCAUGAUGAACAAGCAUACAGCAUCAACAUCUCAUAUCAGACAGUUCUGUCAAGACCAUGCCUAUGUGCAGAUCUUAUUGUGAAGAUUGUGUACAAACACACCUGAGCUGAUCUCCUUCUGCAAGUCCCAUGACUUGUUGUUUGCUGUCUUCCCCAGGAAAUCAAACAGAGGCAUGAAAAGGCAGAAGUUGCAGUUCUUCUC